rnacentral:rRNA from 1 species
AAAUUAUUAAAGAAAUUUAUGUACAUUUAGUGGAUGCCUAGACAAGAGUGAAAUGGACGUAUAGCGAAACGAAAAGCUAUAUACAAUUGUCGUAAUACAAGAUGAUAUAGAUCUCCAUAGAGGAAACUCAAUUAUAAAUUUUACCUAGUGAAUUGAAACAUCUUAGUAACUAGAGGAAAAAAAAUCAACCGAGACUCCGUUAGUAGUGGUGAGCGAAAGCGGAAUAGGCCAAAUCAAUAUUUUAAACACAACUCUGUGAAACAUGUAAUCUAUAUUGUUGUAGCAAAUCCAAGUAAUUUGAAAUAACACGCCAUAGAAGGUUAAAGCCCUGUGUAUUUCAUGUAUUUAUGUUAUUAAAAUUUACAGAGAAAGUUUUAAUUUCAUUUAAUAAAUUUCAUUUAUUUUACAUGAACUGUGAAGCAAUAUAUAUAUUGAUAAUAUAGUAUUCUUUUAGAGAUACUAUAUAGUUUGAGUAGAACGAGAACAAACUUGUUUGAAAAUAGGGGGACCACCCUCUAAGCCUAAGUACGCACUCUUGAUCGAUAGUGAACUAGUACCGUGAGGGAAAGGUGAAAAAGAAGUGAAAUAAAUACUGAAACUGGAUGUAUACAAGCACUCAAAGCUUUGUAACUUAUUUAUAUUUAAAUAAGCUGUUUAACAACAACACAGAGUAAUGGGGUACCUUUUGUAUAAUGGGUCAACGAGUAAAUAAAUGAAGCAAGCUUAAGCGACUAAGUGGAGGCGUAGUAAAAACGCUAAUAAAUUAGAUUUAUUUUAUAAAUUUCAUUUAUUUUAACAAGUGUCAUUUAUUUGACCCGAAACCGAGUGAUCUAGUCAUGAACAGGUUGAAAAAAUGCUAACACGUUUUGGAGGACCGAAUUCACGUCUGUGGCAAUAGACGGAAAUGAUUUGUGACUAGGGGUGAAAAGCCAAUCGAACUCGGAGAUAGCUGGUUUUCUGCGAAAUUUAUUUAGGUAAAGUCUAGAAUAUAUAUAACAAGGGGGUAGAGCAACUCGCUGGGUAAGGGUGGCCCAAAGCCUUACUAAAUCCAAGGAAACUCCUAAUACCUUGUUAUACUCUCCUAGAAUCAGACUUUGGGCGCUAAGGUCCAAAGUCGAAAGGGAAACAGCCCAGAUCGAACGCUAAGGUUCCAAAGCGUAUAUUUAGUGGUAAAGGAGGUUAUUGAGCCCAGACAACCAGCAAGUAGGCUUAGAAGCAGCCAUCUUAUAAUGAAAGCGUAGUAGCUCACUGGUCUAUAUAGUUAUACAUUUUUAUUAAUGUAUAGGCUCAAUAGCGCCGAAAAUGUAACGGAGCUCAAGUAUACCACCGAAGCGGCGGCUAUAUAUAGUAAAUCAAAAACUACUAUUUAUAGGGUAGCAGAACGUUCUGUAAGUAGGUUUAUAAUAAAUACGUAAGCAUUUAUUUAUAUAUCAGAAGUGAGAAUGUUGACAUGAGUAACGUAAAAUCAUGUGUGAUUCAUGAUCGCCGAAAAUCCAGUGUUUUCUACAAACUAGAAUUUAAUGUAGAGUUAAUCGGCCCCUAAGUGUUUCUAGCGAUUGCUAUAACAUAAUGGGUACAAGAAUUUAAAAUUUCUUGAUGUAUACUAUAUUACGAAUAGUACCUAUUUUAAAAGAUAAACGGAUUUCUUUUGAAAUAUACCUAUUCCAGGAAAAAAGUAGUAGCUUGUUUCUUUAAUUAGAAAUAAGAUUUAGACACCGUACUUUCCGACACUGGAGGAUGAGUAGAAUAUACUAAGGCGUAGAGAGAACCAUAUUAAAGGAACUCGGCAAAUUGCCUCCGUAACUUCGGGAUAAGGAGGACCAUGUAGAAAUACCUGUUAUAGGUAUUUAAGUGGUGGCACAAAAUAGGGAGUAACGACUGUUUAAUAAAAACACAGGACUCUGCAAAGCGGUAACGCGACGUAUAGGGUCUGACACCUGCCCGGUGCUGGAAACUUAAGUGGAGAGGUUUGAUGCUGUUUUAUUUGCAAAAAUAAAACAAAUUCCAGCUUUUAAAUUAAUGUCCAGUAAACGGCGGCUGUAACUCUAACAGUCCUAAGGUAGCGAAAUUCAUUGCCGGGUAAGUUCCGGCCUGCAUGAAUGGUGUAACGAUUACUCCGCUGUCUCUAAUAUGGUCUCAGUGAAAUUGAAUUCUCCGUGAAGAUGCGGAGUUCCCCAAAGUAGACGGAAAGACCCUAAGCAUCUUUACUGCAACUUUACGUUGAAAAAGGAUAUUGAUUGUAGAGGAUAGGUGGGAGCCUUGAUAAAAAAAGGCAACCUUGAAAUACCACCCUUUCUAUAUUGUUUUUCUAAGCACAGCAACAGCGUAUAGUGGGUAGUUUGACUGGGGCGGUCGUUUUCUAAAAAGUAACGAAAACGUGCGAAGGUAAGCUCAAGCUGGAAGGAAAUCAGCUGUAGAGCGUAAUGGUAUAAGCUUGCCUGACUGUGAGACUUACAAGUCAAACAGAGACGAAAGUCGGCCAUAGUGACCCGGGAGUACUUCGUGGAAAGGCUCUCGCUCAACGGAUCAAAGAUACGCUAGGGAUAACAGGCUAAUGAUUCCCAAGAGCUCUUAUCGACGGAAUCGUUUGGCACCUCGAUGUCGACUCGUCACAUCCUCGAGCUGCAGAAGGUUCGAAGGGUUCGGCUGUUCGCCGAUUAAAGUGGUACGUGAGUUGGGUUUAAUACGUCGUAAGACAGUAUGUAUCCUAUCUUUUUGGGGUGUAAAAAAACUGACAGGACGAUUUCUUUGUACGAGAGGACCGGAAAUCACGAACCUCUUGUGUAUCAGUUGUUAUGCCAAUAGCAUAGCUGAGUAGCUACGUUCGGACUAGAGAACCGCUGAAAGCAUCUCAAGCGGGAAACUAACCUGAAAACAAGUUUUUAGUAUCGUAGAAGACUACUACGUUAAUAGGUGGAAUGUGUAAAAAUAGCAAUAUUCCAAUUUUAUUUCUAGUUUUUAACAAAAAAUAAAAGAGCAAAUCCAUACUAAACUCUAUUUUAAAUAUUAUU